UUUGAUUCUUGAUGUUAAUGUUGGGUCACUACUCAACUUUGAGGAACAGGAACGACACAGUCGCAACCCUCAACCUUUUGAUGAAUCUGUACUCCACACACUUCUAGACAAUUCAUUGCCUGAGACAGAUGAAUUGGACCAAUGCAAAGCGAUCAUGGUUCCCAUGGUAAGCAGGGGGCAUUGGACAUUGUAUGUUGUCAAUAAGGUCAAGAAGUGCAUUCAUAUUUUAGAUUCCAAC